UACGGAGGGUGCAAGCGUUAAUCGGAAUUAUUGGGCGUAAAGAGUGCGCAGGCGGAUCGAAAAGUCUAGUGUGAAAUUCCGGGGCUUAACUCCGGAACUGCGCUGGAAACUCUCGGUCUAGAGGGUAGGUGGAGAAAGCGGAAUUCCACGUGUAGCGGUGAAAUGCGUAGAUAUGUGGAAGAACACCGGUGGCGAAGGCGGCUUUCUAGCUUACUUACUGACGCUCAUGCACGAGAGCUAGGGGAGCAAACAGG
rnacentral:rRNA from 1 species